CCCUUAGAUGUUCUGGGCUGCACACGUGCUACACUGGCAGGUUCAGCGAGCUUCAUGCCCUGAUCUGAAAGGAAUGGGAAAUCUUUUCAAAACCUGCCGUGCUUGGGAUAGAUGUUUGCAAUUAUUCAUCUUCAACGAGGAUUGCCUUGUAAGCGCACGUCAUCAGCGUGCAUUGAAUACGACCCUGUAUUCUGUACACACCGCCCGUCGCUCCUACCGAUUGAAGUUUUCGGUGAGCUGACAGGAGGAUUUUUUUGAAACUGGUUCGCCAGUGGAUAUUAGAUCCAAAUGCCAACGAAUCGAUGGCUUUAGAGGAAGGAGAAGUCGUAACA
rnacentral:rRNA from 1 species